rnacentral:rRNA from 1 species
UACGUAGGGGGCAAGCGUUGUCCGGAUUUAUUGGGCGUAAAGAGCGUGUAGGCGGCUAGAUAGGUCCGUUGUGAAAACUCGAGGCUCAACCUCGAGACGUCGAUGGAAACCAUCUGGCUAGAGUCCGGGAGAGGAUGGUGGAAUUCCCAGUGUAGAGGUGAAAUUCGUAGAUAUUGGGAAGAACACCGAUGGCGAAGGCAGCCAUCUGGACCGACACUGACGCUGAGGCGCGAAAGCGUGGGGAGCAAACAGG